CACGUAGGGUGCGAGCGUUGUCCGGAAUUAUUGGGCGUAAAGAGCUCGUAGGCGGUGUGUCGCGUCGGCCGUGAAAAACCUGCAGCUUAACUGUGGGCUUGCGGUCGAUACGGGCAUCACUGGAGUUCGGCAGGGGGAGACUGGAAUUCCUGGUGUAGCGGUGAAAUGCGCAGAUAUCAGGAGGAACACCGGUGGCGAAGGGCGGGGUCUCUGGGCCGAAAACUGACGCUGAGGAGCGAAAGCUGGGGGAGCAA
rnacentral:rRNA from 1 species